AAACUAAGCAAGCUUGUACAGUGCCUCCACUGGUUCUAGGAGGGAUUGCCCACCUUAUUCUUUUUGUUUGUCCACUUCUUUUUCACUGCUUGUACAUCAGACCUCAUUCUGCUUUCAGUUUUCAUUCUGCUUUCCAAUCUUCCAGGUUUGAAUAGUUUAGCAUUAAGGACAUACACUGUAAUUAAAAGGCACCACGUAUUUACCAGGGAUUACAUGAGUCUUGAUCAUCUUUCAAGCCAUGAGAACCCUCAUGAAGAAAAAUGUUUCUGGGUCCUACUUUGGGAGAAACUCUUGUAGUUUCACAUUAGCAAUCCAAAUUGUUUCUGCUACACGAGGCUAAUGGAAGAACCUGACCGUUUUUUAGCACCAUUAUGAAAACAUUAACUGAACUCACUUCCAGAACCUCCCUCUCUGUGGCAGGGUUGCACUGAGAUAUGUUGUGAAUAAACAAGAAAAGCAAGAAUUCCAGGAGUUGUGGCUUGCACUUACCUGUGAAUCAUUUGCACCACCUGGGCUUUGAACAGCUGGUCCCAGCCUGCAUCUGCAACACUGCUGCACAGAAGCCGAUCUCCAGCACAGAAGCUUAAUGGGUGCAAGUGCUGGCAGAGAGAGACACCAGAUUGUGACACAUACUCCUCAGUCCAAGAAAUACUUCAGCAAGAACAGCUGAACCACCAAUUCAGGCAACAGGAACAUUAAUCCCCAGCAGAAAGAAGACUGGAUAUGUAACCCAGAAGGUAAAUCUCUUUAAGAACAGACCUUGCCCUACACAUUUCUUUCAGAGUCUUUUUUUGUUCCUUUUCGGGUGGAUCUCUAAUAGCCUUGUGUCACCACAGAAUCUCUCAUCAGAGCAUGCUGACCUGUCUUGCCACUUUGUGCUGGAGCCAAUAAAUAGCAAAGCCAACCUCGGAAGCACAUUUUCAGAGCGGUACUGAUUCACCUACAUUUUGCAUGCUGACAAAACCCCAGUCCUUCACAUAAGCACAGCUUCAUUUGUAUGAUUA